rnacentral:rRNA from 1 species
GCCAGACUCCUACGGGAGGCAGCAGUGGGGGAUAUUGCACAAUGGGGGGAACCCUGAUGCAGCGACGCCGCGUGGGUGAAGAAGCGCCUCGGCGCGUAAAGCCCUGUCAGCAGGGAAGAAAAUGACGGUCCCUGAAGAAGAAGCCCCGGCUAACUACGUGCCAGCAGCCGCGGUAAUACGUAGGGGGCAAGCGUUAUCCGGAUUUACUGGGUGUAAAGGGGGCGCAGACGGCGAUGCAAGCCAGGAGUGAAAGCCCGGGGCCCAACCCCGGGACUGCUCUUGGAACUGCGUGGCUGGAGUGCAGGAGGGGCAGGCGGAAUUCCUGGUGUAGCGGUGAAAUGCGUAGAUAUCAGGAGGAACACCGGCGGCGAAGGCGGCCUGCUGGACCGCGACUGACGUUGAGGCUCGAAAGCGUGGGGAGCGAACAGGAUUAGAUACCCGAGUAGCG